CCCUUAGAUGUUCUGGGCCGCACGCGCGCUACACUGAUGCAUUCAACGAGUUUCUUCCUGGUCCGAGAGGAAUGGGUAACCUUUUGAAAGUGCAUCGUGAUAGGGAUAGACUAUUGCAAUUAUUGGUCUUCAACGAGGAAUUCCUAGUAGACGUAGUUCAUCAGACUGCAUCGAUUACGUCCCUGCCCUUUGUACACACCGCCCGUCGCUCCUACCGAUUGAAACAUACGGUGAAAAUCUCGGAGAGGAAUGUUCUUAGUGCAAAGUUCGCUUUGUAUUUCCAUGCUUCAAAGUUAUUUAAAUCUCAUGUUUUAGAGGAAGGAGAAGUCGUAACA
rnacentral:rRNA from 1 species